GCGUGUCAAAUAAGCAAAUACAUGCAGUAAUAGGCAACUUUACUCAUCAUUAUGCAACUAAAAUAUAAAUAGCUAAAUAAUAAUUUUAAUUUAAUUAUCAUUAUGCAAAUCUUAAAUUAAGACAAAACAAAUGAAAGAAAACAAGAGUAUAAGUAUUUUGCUUGGUUUUUCAAGGCUAGAAAUGUUUUGCUUUUUUUUUUUUUUUUGGUUAACUCAGGGUAAAUCCCCAGACUUAUGGAAGGAUCCGAGACUAAUCCCUAAGGAGAGGGUAUCCCACGGGUAGGGUACCCCCAGGCUUUCAAAUGUGCCUUAAGCAAGAGGCCCAUACCCAUGUGGCCAAAGGAAUAAAGCUAGCAAUUAGAAAUGUUUUGCUUUCUCAACAAUUAUCCUAACAGAGAGACUAAAUAACAUAUGUAUAACAAGAUUACAAAGUAUUUUUACUUCAAGAUACCAAAACAUGAGCCACACUAGCUUAUUACACAACUAAA
rnacentral:lncRNA from 1 species